GCUGCGAUCCACACUGUUUUUGUUAACACUCAUCACAUCGUUACGGUUAAGGUGAUUGCCACGAUCCAGACUAUUACUGCUAACACUAAUCAAAUCGUUAUUGUGUGGGUCAAUGCCACGACCCACACAAUUCUUGUUAACAUCCAUCGUUUUAUUAUUACUGUUUAGGUCAAUGCCACAAUCCACACUAUUAUCGUUAACAUCCAUCGUAUUGUCUAUGUUUAGGUCACUGCAACGAUCCACAUUGUUAUUGUUGUUGGGUGUUUGCUAUCCUCGAUUAUGAGAUUGCACU
rnacentral:lncRNA from 1 species